UACGAAGGGGGCUAGCGUUGCUCGGAAUUACUGGGCGUAAAGGGCGCGUAGGCGGCGUGGUAAGUCACUUGUGAAAUCUCUGAGCUUAACUCAGAACGGCCAAGUGAUACUGCUGUGCUAGAGUGCAGAAGGGGCAAUCGGAAUUCUUGGUGUAGCGGUGAAAUGCGUAGAUAUCAAGAGGAACACCUGAGGUGAAGACGGGUUGCUGGGCUGACACUGACGCUGAGGCGCGAAAGCCAGGGGAGCAAACGGG
rnacentral:rRNA from 1 species